ensembl:lncRNA
GCAGCGACCACAGACAGAGCGCCAUCUAGGGAGGUACGAAGAAGAAGCCGAAACACAAAAAAAACACGAUUAUUAUUAUUGUUGUUGUUGUUUUUUGUUUACAGAUUUUUUUCCUCUCUCUUGACCACCAUCUGUGGCAAUGAGAGAGAUUGAAACAAGGUCAUAUAUAUAUAUAAAGAGAGAUCAUCAUCACAUUAUUAAUUUUAAAACAUUUUGACGUUGUGACACAGACAGAAUUAAGCCCCUCCUCCCCGUGUCUGUAGUCCUUGUGAUUGGCUACAAUAUGCAUAGAUACAGGGAUCAGCUUUAUGGUUCAGUCCCACUGACGUCACACACACACACACACACACACACACACACACACACACACACACUGGGAGGACAGUGGCGAGGAGGAGGAGGAAGCACGCCGAUUUCUCUACCUUUUCGUAAGACAGCAUUUUUGGGGGGGGGUGAAACCGCUGAGCUCUUCCAAGCAGGUACAAACUAACUCACACAACCAGAAGUCGUUUCAGUGCUAGAAGAUGGAUGCAUCCGACAAGGAGAGAAUCUGGGGAGACACUGGCUCCAUUUCAGGUCUAACCAGAACCACACCAGAACCACGGGUCAGGACACUGACCGACCCCACACCAGAUCUACA